rnacentral:rRNA from 1 species
UACGUAGGGUGCAAGCGUUGUCCGGAAUUAUUGGGCGUAAAGAGCUCGUAGGCGGUCUGUUGCGUCGGCUGUGAAAACCCGGGGCUCAACCCCGGGCCUGCAGCCGAUACGGGCAGACUAGAGUUCGGCAGGGGAGACUGGAAUUCCUGGUGUAGCGGUGAAAUGCGCAGAUAUCAGGAGGAACACCGGUGGCGAAGGCGGGUCUCUGGGCCGAUACUGACGCUGAGGAGCGAAAGCGUGGGGAGCGAGCCGG